GAGACGCAUUUCAUCAACAGCUACGUGACGUAUAGAGGAAGGUUUUUCAGGUUCAGUUGCAGGAAUUGUGGUCGGAGUACUCGUUGUGUGUGUAGCAUUAGGAGCUGGAGCAGUAUUAUGCUACUUUAGAAGACUAAAGAACAAACACAAAACGGACGCUCCAGAGACGAUAUAUUUAAAGUGGUU